UACGUAGGGUGCGAGCGUUAAUCGGAAUUACUGGGCGUAAAGCGUGCGCAGGCGGCUUUGCAAGACAGAUGUGAAAUCCCCGGGCUUAACCUGGGAACUGCAUUUGUGACUGCAAGGCUGGAGUGCGGCAGAGGGGGAUGGAAUUCCGCGUGUAGCAGUGAAAUGCGUAGAUAUGCGGAGGAACACCGAUGGCGAGGGCAAUCCCUGGACCUGUACUGACGCUCAUGCACGAAAGCGUGGGGAGCAAACAGG
rnacentral:rRNA from 1 species